AUUGAACGCUGGCGGCAUGCUUUACACAUGCAAGUCGAACGGCAGCGCGGGCUUCGGCCUGGCGGCGAGUGGCGAACGGGUGAGUAAUACAUCGGAACCUGCCCAGUAGUGGGGGAUAGCCUGGCGAAAGCCGGAUUAAUACCGCAUACUACCUGAGGGUGAAAUCCGGGGAUCUUCGGACCUAGCGCUAUUGGAUCGGCCGAUUGCAGAUUAGCUAGUUGGUGGGGUAAAGGCCUACCAAGGCGACGAUCUGUAGCUGGUCUGAGAGGACGACCAGCCACACUGGGACUGAGACAGGGCCCAGACUCCUACGGGAGGCAGCAGUGGGGAAUUUCGGACAGUGUGCGAAAGCCUGCUCCAGCAAUGCCGCGUGUGUGAUGAAGUCCUUCGGUUUGUAAAGCACUUUUGGCGGGAAAGAAAAGGACUGUGCCAAUACCACGGUUCGAUGGCGGUACCCGCAGAAUAAGCACCGGCUAACUACGUG
rnacentral:rRNA from 1 species